UUUUCGAGUGGCGGACGGGUGAGUAACGCGUGGGUAACCUGCCUCAUACAGGGGGAUAACAGUUGGAAACGACUGUUAAUACCGCAUAAGACCACAGCACCGCAUGGUGCGGGGGUAAAAACUCCGGUGGUAUGAGAUGGACCCGCGUUCGAUUAGCCAGUUGGCGGGGUAACGGCCCACCAAAGCGACGAUCGAUAGCCGAUCUGAGAGGAUGACCGGCCACAUUGGGACUGAGACACGGCCCAA
rnacentral:rRNA from 1 species